UACGAAGGGGGCUAGCGUUGUUCGGAAUUACUGGGCGUAAAGGGCGCGUAGGCGGUACCUCAAGUCAGGCGUGAAAGCCCCGGGCUCAACCUGGGAACCGCGCUUGAGACUGGAGAACUAGAGUUCGGGAGAGGAUGGUGGAAUUCCCAGUGUAGAGGUGAAAUUCGUAGAUAUUGGGAAGAACACCGGUGGCGAAGGCGGCGACCUGGUCCAUUACUGACGCUGAGGCGCGACAGCGUGGGGAGCAAACAGG
rnacentral:rRNA from 1 species